rnacentral:lncRNA from 1 species
CGUAUUCUCCUGCCUGACUCCCAGGAGGGGCAGAACCUGUUUUCACCCCUGCCCUGACCACCUACACUCAUUCUCCUGUACCCUGACUUGUCUCAAUCUCCCAGACAGAAAGCCCGGAACUGGCAACCAGGACCAGAGACUUGGAGGCUGGAAGUCAAUAACCAAAGUGCCAGCACAGACCAAGCUGGGAGGACUCCAUUCUGGAUUGCGGAUGGCCACCUUCUUGCCAGGAGUCAAAAGUGAGCAGCAGUGCCCACCUCUUGGUCAUGCAGGGUGAAGGACUGAACCAGGGCUUGUGUUUGCCAGCAGCUUGCGGCACCGGGAAUGAUGGACAGCCACGUGGUCUCUGGCUGGCAGCGUGGAUGAGACACCGAUGUGGAUUCAGAGGCACCAAGGACUACGAACAUCAACAUGGCCUCCACAGCAGCACUGAUCAUGGAAGUCUUUCAAGGGGACAACUCAGAAAAUGAAUCGUUCUUCAUCUCGGAUAUCUUGUUGCUCAGAGUCAGGGUGAUCGUGGGAUCGGGCAGCGUGUGUGUGGAACAGAAGUGGGCGUGGGGGGGGCACCUAGAAGAGCUGCGGCUCCAUUCUGCGGGCUGAGCGGCAGCAGUACUUGUCCUAGCAGGCGGGAACCGGGUGAGGUGGAUCCUAUAGUUGCUUGAGCCUCCAGGGUCCGAGGAGAACCUUCUCUACUGGGCAAUGACAUGCUCCUUUGUGCCCUCCCCCUGCCGCAGCCCUGCUCCAUACCCAUCGCUGCCCAGUCUCGCUUCCCUCUGUUGCGCUGCUCUGUUCUGCAGUAUGGAAAAAAAAUAUACUUUAGGGGUGGGGCACGCCAUUGAACUUUUCAUAAUUUCCAUCUCUUUGCUGAAAUUCCCUCUGACUACACCCAUUGUCAGCUUUCCCCACCAGAUCCUUUAAUGUAUUGUUACACUUUUUAAAAUUCUUCUCUGCUAAUUUGAAUACUCAGAUCAUAUGCAAAUCCGCUUCUGUUGCUUCUGUCUAGUGUAAUUUUUUUUCCUUCCGAAGCGUUUUUUUUCUGCUAGUGUUCUUACAGUACCCCAGGGGAAUGCGAUGUCUCAUACAGGCUGUGAGACAGGGCUGCUUCAUACAGGCCAACAGGGACCACAAAUGCCUCCUACAGGCUGGGGAAUGCAACGUCUCAGCUUUUGUUCAUUGAAAAAAAAAAGCAUGUAUGUGUGCGUGUGUGCGUGCAUGUGUGUGCAUGUGAGUAGAGGAGGACAUGCAGUACCCUGCUGGUCACUCCCCACCCGAAUUCCAUUGAGGAAGUGUCUCCCUGAAGCUGGAGCUCUGAUUUUCCAGCAAGACUUAUAUUCCAGCAAGCUCCAGUGACUUCCUAUCUCCAUCCCACUGAACCAUGUGGUCACAGGCAUCGUCAGGACCACGCCCACUUUGUUCUGUGGGAGCUGGAAUCCAAACUCUGGUCCUUAUAGUCGCCAAAGCAAGCACUCUUACUUGCUAAACCAUUACUCCAACCUAAAAAGGGUUUCAAUGGCUCAGUCAGUAAUGUGCCUGGAGCACACAGACAGGAGGUUUUGAGUUAAGAUCCCCAGUUCUCAUAUAAAGCCGGGCAUAGCUAUUGUAUCUGACCUCAGUGCUCGGUCAAGGGUCACACAGGUGGCUCCCUGGAGCUCCUUGUCCAGCUAGCCUAGCCAAAUAGAUGAGUUCUUGGGUUGACAAACAGACCUCGUGUCUAACAAUGGAGUGGCACACUGUUGACCUAAGUGGCCUUUAGACUCAUGCAUACAUACACUCACAUUCACAGACAAACAAAGGACUCCCGGACACACACACACACACACACACACACACACACACACACACACACAAAUCUAGGGCCUUCACCUGCUGAGUCAUCUCUCCAGAUUCCUUUUGUUACUUAUAAGUGUUACACUGUUU